CCCGGAGCGAGAAGGAAGCGAGAAAGGCUAUGCCAAGGCAUUUGUUUCUUGCAAUGGGAGGCGCCGCCAUUAAAUUGCAAACGCUCUCCAGGAUAUGAGUUGCGCCCACCAUCACUAGAGCCCUAUUCACAGUCGACUCUGGCAGCCAUUGCAAGAUGCACCAAAUGGCACACUGCUGCUUUGCAGAGAAGCUUCUUCUCACUGCCCAACUUAACUUUCAGAAGCAUGCAUUCUCUGGGCAGUGUUCUUGCUCACGCCAGUCCAGCAUCAUUGAAUCAAAAUGAGUGUCUUAGCGCAUAAAAUGGAUCUCAGUUAUUUUGAUAAGAACAAGCAGUCAACCUACCUGAUCGCAUUCACCACCACUCGACUUGUGCAAAACAAAACCAGUGUGAUGUGCUUGUCUUGAAACGCUUGCUCUUGCCUGGUGUCUGAGACUACAAGAUGUCAGUAAUUGUGCAUCCUUCUACUGGACACAGUGCUUGCAUACUCUAGUGUGCGAUUUUUU